rnacentral:rRNA from 1 species
AGUGAACGCUGGCGGUAGGCCUAACACAUGCAAGUCGAACGGCAGCACAGUAAGAGCUUGCUCUUACGGGUGGCGAGUGGCGGACGGGUGAGGAAUACAUCGGAAUCUACUUUUUCGUGGGGGAGAACGUAGGGAAACUUAUGCUAAUACCGCAUACGACCUACGGGUGAAAGCAGGGGAUCUUCGGACCUUUCGCGAUUGAAUGAGCCGAUGUCGGAUUAGCUAGUUGGCGGGGUAAAGGCCCACCAAGGCGACGAUCCGUAGCUGGUCUGAGAGGAUGAUCAGCCACACUGGAACUGAGACACGGUCCAGACUCCUACGGGAGGCAGCAGUGGGGAAUAUUGGACAAUGGGCGCAAGCCUGAUCCAGCCAUACCGCGUGGGUGAAGAAGGCCUUCGGGUUGUAAAGCCCUUUUGUUGGGAAAGAAAAGCAGCAGGUUAAUACCCCGCUGUUCUGACGGUACCCAAAGAAUAAGCACCGGCUAACUUCGUG